GGCUUAACACAUGCAAGUCGAACGAUAAGCUAGACUUCGGUUUAGUGGACAGUGGCAGACGGGUGAGUAACGCGUGGGAAUCUACCUUUGAGUGGGGAAUAACAAUUAGAAAUGAUUGCUAAUACCGCAUAUACCCUCCGGGGGAAAGGCUUCGGCCGCUCUUAGAUGAGCCCGCGUACGAUUAGUUUGUUGGUGAGGUAAAGGCUCACCAAGACUACGAUCGUUAGCUGGUUUGAGAGGAUGAUCAGCCACACUGGGACUGAGACACGGCCCAGACUCCUACGGGAGGCAGCAGUGGGGAAUAUUGGACAAUGGGCGAAAGCCUGAUCCAGCCAUGCCGCGUGAGUGAAGAAGGCCUUAGGGUUGUAAAACUCUUUCGACAGGGAAGAUAACGACGGUACCUGUAUAAGAAGCUCCGGCUAACUCCGUGCCAGCAGCCGCGGUAAUACGGAGGGGGCAAGCGUUGCUCGGAAUUACUGGGCGUAAAGCGAGCGUAGGCGGUUAGUCAAGUUGGUGGUGAAAGCCCGGAGCUCAACUCCGGAACUGCCAUCAAAACUGACUUACUUGAGAU
rnacentral:rRNA from 1 species